rnacentral:tRNA from 1 species
GGCGAUGUAGCUCAGCUGGUUAGAGCGGAGAAUUCAUAAUUCUUAGGUCGGCGGUUCGAGUCCGCCCAUCGCCA